GAAAGCGUCAGUCACAUUUGAUUUAUCCGACGGCGGCUUAUUUUCUUCAAAUAAUAGAGACUCGCCAAGCCAAGAUCGUAAAACUGCUACAAAGAGAAUGACAGUCAAUGGAGCAUCACCAGAAAGUACGUCAACGACUCCUCCCAGCGAUGAAGAGCCGAAUACCGCGUUUCGAAACAUCAUUAUAAUUACAGUCACUUUCGUAACUCUUCUUCUGGUGGCUAUCAGCGUGGGAUUUUGCUUGAAUCGUGGCAGAGCAAGGAGUAAUCUGAAUGAACAAUCCAGUACUAACAGCACUAUUGGUACGUGCCGUUUUUAUAGUGUGAAAAU